ensembl:lncRNA
UUUGCAUCUACCUUCUGUUUCUCACCACCGCUCAAACGUUCCCUCAGAUCCCACAUUUCAGUGAGCUAUGUUUCAGAAACCUAAAGCCACCUGUGUCCUAGUGAUUCUCUGGGAAGAGGAACAAACCAAGGACUGCCUGUCUUCUGUGCAUCCCUGAUCAGGCCUGCAAGAAGGCAACUAUAACUGAUACAACACAUAAAGGAGAAGUACCUUGGUAAUUGGUAAAGGCUGUGCUUGCAGAACACCAGGUGGGAAGGUUCUCUGACAUUGCAGGUUUUGCUGCGACCAGGAGAUGACUACUGUGUGCUCAGAUGCGCACUGGAACAGUGAGCUGCAGCACAACUGCAGAACUCUUCUGGGGGUCAGGAUCCUGCCCAGCUCCAGAGUAUGAAGGCAGUGUGCAAGGAAAGAGCUCACAGAGACUGCUGAAGUGUGUGAAGAGGAAAAAAUAACACAAUGAGGAAAAAGUACAAAAAAGCAACCAGUGCCAUGAAUAAUCCUGAAAUAUGAAUAGAUAUAUGUAUUUGGACAAGGUGGGUACUGCUCAGUAUAAAACCCUCAACAGGAAAGCAGAGCUUAAAGAAGACCUAGGGGCAACGAUAGCUGAUGAGCAGCUUCCCACAGGAGUGAUGUGAUGGCUUGGAUGAUGUGGAGCAGAGCAAGCCAGGACAGCUCAUGGGCUGUGGAAAACUGAACUGAGUGAUGUGGAAUGACACUGGAUGGCACUGCAGGAUGCCUAAAGGAUGUUGUGGAAGUCAGGCUGGGACUGCGAAUCUGCUGGCCUUUUUCCACUGGACACAACAGUAGCCAAGGUUUAAAUCAACAUCCCUGAAUGAUCUCUCCCGCCAUUAGGAAGCUUUUUGCUGAGCUCAACUCUCAGCUAUGAAGGGGUGGCAGGAGGGAAUCCAGAAGGGCUGCACAGCCCAGGAGUCCAGGCUUCACUCCAGUUGGGUGGAAGAGCCCCGUGCCCCAGGACUGCACUGGCAGUGAGGAGCAUUAAACUUCUGCCUAGAGGGUGAGAGGCCAUUGGUGGUGGGGCUGGAAGUGUGCCGAAAGCAGUGCAGUGGGCUGCAGAGGAGCAUGUAGGCUUUAAUUUCUUUAGGUAUUUCUGAACUGAACAGAAACAUCAUAAAAAUGGGGCUUACCUUACAUCCAAGGACAUGCAAUGUAUAUUUGAGUUUAUGUGCCUUUCUGAGUGUAUAUGUUCUGGUAAUCUCAUUUUUGUUUUCUUCAGAUGCUAGACCCUUGGCAUGACAUGCAGCCAUGGCCUCAGCCCUUACCCAAGGUCACAAGGUGGGCUGGUUCCCUAUGGUGGGCUCUGCACUCACAGCUCUGCAGCCCAGUGCACCAACAGCGCUCAGCUCCCACGGCGGUGAGAGGCGUUAGCUAAUUAAACCUUCCCUCAUCUGUGGGAGAGAGAGAAAACCACAAUGGAGUAGAAGUGAGCAAAGGGUGUUGUGUUCCUCUAAAAGCAGCCAAGGGCCCUCUCAGAUGGUUUCAGGCUUUGAAGGUACAGACUGAGCAAAGAGCUAAAGAGAAGAUUUUGUUCUUAUUUUACGUUAAGAACUUCUGCUUAAGUGUGCCCAUCAGUGCUCUCCUGAAGCUGCCAGACUUCAGAGCAAAUCACGGAACAUUCUGAGUUGGAAGGGACCCACAAGGAGCACUGAGUCCAGCUCCUGCUGCAGCCCUUUUUGAACGAUUAAAGGAACCCUUAUUUGGCCCCCAUACCCAUUCAUUACCCUUUUCAUUCUUUCUAACCCCGAGCACCUCAAGAUGCAAAGACUUUGCUGCCUUCAGAUCUGUGCUUUCCCAGCUUCCCCAGUCAGUUUAGCAAACUGGUUAGCACAAGAUGUUACUCCUGGAUUUGUCCAUGUUUUCCUCACUGCUGAUUGCCUAGCAAAGCAGCCACCAGCACCAAGAGGGGCCGGCAAUACACUGUGCUGGGGUUGCUGACAUGGGAGGCUGAGUGCAGCAGGGCUAUCCUGGGCUGCUGCACGUCAGCCAGGGGAGAAGGAUUCUGAGAGAUUGUCUCUGAAAUUUUCCUCGUGGUGCACUGACUAAGAGGAGGAGUGUUGGCCUGCAGCAAGGUACAGCAGCAAUGGAAGGCUGCCAGAGUCAAAUAGAGGGAGUGCAGAUGCAACUGGAGCUUGUAAAGUGGCAAAUUGUAACGGCCUACAAUACAUCUAUACUGUUUUAUCUGCGCUGGUAUGGCUGUGCUGCUAAGGUUGUUACACAUCUCAGAAUCAGUUUUUGUUCUGAAAGCUGUGAAGUCUCUGAUUAAAAGUGAAUUAAUAUUGAAUGUGGCUGAAUACUGACAUUUGUGCUUUUAGAGGUGGUACAUCUUUGAGAACACUGCUAUAAAAGAUAAAGCAGUUUGUGUUAAGUGAGAAACUAAUGUUAAAAAACACAAUUCCCCUUCCU